rnacentral:rRNA from 1 species
AUUGAACGCUGGCGGCAGGCCUAACACAUGCAAGUCGAGCGAGCGGCGGACGGGUGAGUAAUGUAUGGGGACUGCCCGAUAGCGGGGGAUAACUACUGGAAACGGUGGCUAAUACCGCAUACUGUCGGAUAACCCAUAUGGGAUUAGCUAGUGGGUAAGGUAAUGGCCUACCUAGGCGACGAUCCCUAGCUGGUCUGAAAGGAUGAUCAGCCACCCUGGGACUGUGACACGGCCCAGACUCCUACGGAGGCAGCAGUGGUGAAUUUUGGACAAUGGGCGCAAGCCUGAUCCAGCCAUGCCGCGUGUCUGAAGAAGGCCUUCGGGUUGUAAAGGACUUUUGUCAGUGAAGCGGUACCUGAAGAAUAAGCACCGGCUAACUACGUGCCAGCCGCCGCGGUAAUUC